rnacentral:rRNA from 1 species
UACGUAGGGGCGAGCGUUAUCCGGAAUUAUUGGGCGUAAAGGGUUCGCAGGCGGCCUUGUAAGUCAGAUGUGAAAGACAGCGGCUUAACCGUUGUAAGCAUUUGAAACUGCAGGGCUUGAGUACAGGAGAGGAAAGCGGAAUUCCUAGUGUAGCGGUGAAAUGCGUAGAUAUUAGGAGGAACACCAGUGGCGAAGGCGGCUUACCGGACUGUAACUGACGCUGAGUCACGAAAGCGUGGGUAGCAAACAGGAUUAGAUACCCCCGUAGUCCCUGAG